CGCAUCUGUGCAUGCAGCAUAUCAAUAAGCGGAGGAAAAGCAUAAAUGCUGUAUACCUACGCUUAGGAUGUUGACGAGACUGUCGAUCUCAUCUAUACAUGACUCUGCGCAUAUCAAUAAGCGGAGGAAAAGAAACUAACAAGGAUUCCCUUAGUAACGGCGAGUGAAGCGGGAAGAGCUCAAAUUUGAAAUCUUCAAGGUUUUACCUUGACGAAUUGUAGUUUAAAGAAGUGUUUUCUGUUGAAGUUUUGGUAAAAGUUCUUUGGAAUAGGACAUCAUAGAGGGUGAGAAUCCCGUAUUUGACCAUUAUUUUCAGCUGUGUGAUACACUUUCAAAGAGUCGGAUUGUUUGGGAAUGCAGUCCAAAAUGGGUGGUAAAUUUCAUCUAAAGCUAAAUAUUGGCGAGAGACCGAUAGCGAACAAGUACCGUGAGGGAAAGAUGAAAAGAACUUUGAAAAGAGAGUUAAACAGUACGUGAAAUUGUCAAAAGGGAAGCGUUUGGACACCAGUGUUGUUUUUCUGAAAAUCAAUUAAAGAACUGUUUAUGCUAAGCUGUUUAGACUUUAUCAGCUAUCUGUUUAGUUUUGAGCUUUUCUUUAAUGCACUUUUCAGUUAACAAGUCAACAUCAAUUUCUUUUGCUGUAAAAAAGCUUGAGGAAGGUGGCUUGAGAUUCGUCUUAAGUGUUUAUAGCCUCUUGCCUAUGCAGUCGGAGAGAUUGAGGUCUGCAGCGUAGAUCCUUCGGGGCUAAAUGCAUUUGUGCUAAGUUAUAGCAUUUUAUAGACAACUUGUUGACUAUGAUUUGUCUUGUAGCUUACUCGCUUAUGCUAUUUUACCUACGCUUAGGAUGUUGACGAGACUGUCGAUCUC
rnacentral:rRNA from 1 species